GAACUCUGACCAACCUGCAGUAAAAGCCUAAGAUCAGUGAAGACAGCCUAAUGCACAGAGAGGAGCUGGAGCAGAGUUUAAUCAGCCUGUACUGCUGUCUUUACAAGAGAGGAGCUGGAGCAGAGUUUAAUCAGCCUGUACUGCUGUCUUUACAGGAGAGGAGCUGGAGGAGAGUUUAAUCAGCCUGUACUGCUGUCUUUACAGGAGAGGAGCUGGAGCAGAGUUUAAUCAGCCUGUACUGCUGUCUUUACAGGAGAGGAGCUGGAGGAGAGUUUAAUCAGCCUGUACUGCUGUCUUUACAGGAGAGGAGCUGGAGCAGAGUUUAAUCAGCCUGUACUGCUGUCUUUACAGGAGAGGAGCUGGAGCAGAGUUUAAUCAGCCUGUACUGCUGUCUUUACAGGAGAGCAGCUGGAGGAGAGCUACAGCAAGAGGAUCACACUUACACGCACACACACACGGAGACGUGGCUGUCCGACAGGGACACGGACAGUGACUUGGGACUAUGCGGCUUCGGAUCGCCUGUCCGGCUGGACAGGGACCCAACAACUACCGGCAAGUCCACUGGCGUGUGUCUCUACGUGAACGCAAAAUCGGCUAAUGUUCCAGAGAAAAUCUGCACGGCCGACGUUGAAUUACUCACGGUGGCAUUACGUCCUCACUACCUCCCACGUGAGUUUCCCAGCUGUUCGUCACUCUUGUGUACAUACACCCCAAGGCGAACAGUAACUGGACUUCCACCAGUAUGUUGCGUGCCCCACUAGACACAAUAAAACACUGGACUUGUGUUAUUGUUCAGUAAAAAAUGCAUUAAAGUCCAUUCCCCUCCCACCUUUAGGCUCAUCUGAUCACAAUUGUGUACACCUCAUCCCCUCAUAUCAAACUGCUCUUAAGAGGGGCAAGGUACAGACUGUAUAUAUUAAGGACUGGUCAGAGGAAGCUUGUCUGUCUCUUCAGGGGUGUCUGGACUGCACAGACUGGGAUAUGUUUAAUGACUCAUGCUCUGAUAUUGAUGAAUUGACUGAUGUUACCAGUAGUUGGGUGUCUUACUGUGAGGAUAUUGUUAUUCCAACUAAGGCCUUGAAAGUAUACCCCAACAAUAACCCGUGGGUUUCUAAGUCUUUUGCGUGAAAAGAAAAGAGCUUUUAAGGAGGGUAACUUGCAGGAAAGAGAAAGUUUGACUCAGUACUGGCAGAGGAUCUCAACAGGUUCUGUGUCAGAUUUGACACACAUGACUUCAGCAACCGACAUUCUGAACUCAAGAGGAGUCUCCUGGCAGCCGCCAGAUAACAUCAGUGGCCGCACGCUAAAAGUGUGUGCCGAACAGUUAGGCCCCAUUUUUCAUCACAUAUUCAGUUUGUCACUCUUCCAGCAGAGGGUGCCAUCUCUAUGGAAGCAGUCUGUAGUGGUGCCUGUUGCCAAGGUCAGUCGCCCCCAAACCCUUAAUGAUUUCAGGCCGGUUGCCCUCACAUCCCUCGUUGCAAAAUCCUUUGAGAAGCUGAUUAAAGCUGAGCUCCUAGUUAAGGUGGACUUGGAUCCUUUUCAGUGUAGGGCCAAGAGGGGGGUGCUGGAUGCUACCAUCGCUCUACUUAAUGUUCUCUAUAAACAUCUGGAGAAGAGUGGGAAUCAUGCUAGGUUGCUCUUUGUUGAUUUCUCCUCAGCAUUUAAUACCAUCCAACCCCACCUGCUAACUGAGAAAUUACUGAGCAACUUUAGCCUUGAUCGAAGCCUGACUGGUUGGCUACUUGACUUCCUUACGCAGAGAGUUCAGAGGGUGAGGGUGAAUAAUGUGCUGUCCAGUGCCCUAACAUCGUCCACUGGCUCACCUCAGGGGUGUGUCCUCUCCCCCUGUUGUACAUUCUGUAUACCAAUGACUGCCUUAGCCAACAUGACAACAGGUACAUUAUAAAUUUUGCAGAUGACUCUGUAAUUGUCAGUCUCUUGAAUACUCAUGAGAAUGAGCAUGGCCCUGUCGUUGAUGACUUUGUGUCCUGGUGUGAAGAUGCCUUUUUGCAUCUUAACAUCAGCAAAACUAAGGACAUGUUUAUAGACUUCAGACGCCUCCUCCCUGCUCCAGUGCAUAGUGUAAUCAAGGGGCAGGAUGUUGAUAUGGUAUCAUGUUAUAAGUAUCUAGGCACCUUGAUUGAUGACCGGUUUAAGUUCGACUUGAAUACCGCUUCUGUGUGCAAGAGAGGACAAGAAAGACUCUCUGCUCUCAGGAAACUUGCUAAGUUUCAGGUGGAAAAAACAUUGAUGACACUGUUCUAUAGAGCUUUUAUUGAGUCUGUCCUGACGUUCUCCAUUAUCUGCUGGUAUGGAAAUGUCACUAUCAAAGACAAGAAUGCACUUUCUAAAAUUGUGAAUGUGGCCAAUAAAUAGUGGGAGUGAAGUUCAAUAGUCUUACUGAGUAUUUCAACAAGCAGGUGUUUAACAAAGCCAUGAAUAUCUAUCAAGAUACAAGUCAUCCUCUGUAUACAGAAUACAUGUUGUUGCCAUCUGGCUUACGAUUCAACACUCCCAUUGUUUUAAAACAGAGGUACAAAGAUUCCUUCAUCCCUUUUUCUAUCCAAGCACUGAAUGCACACAACAGAAGAAGAUAGCCUUGUCCACUUAGUGACCCCAUACCCCAAUCCACUACCUCUUUUUACAUCUACCUUAUUGAAACUGUAUCUUGAUUUUAAAUGACUGAUGUUAUGCCAGUGGUUUUAACAGGAUGUACUGCCAGUAUAAAUGAGUAACAGUGGUUUUAACAGGAUGUACUGCCAGUAUAAAUGAGUAACAGUGGUUUUAACAGCGUGUACUGCCAGUAUAAAUGAGUAACAGUGGUUUUAACAGGGUGUACUGCCAGUAUAAAUGAGUAACAGUGGUUUUAACAGGGUGUACUGCCAGUAUAAAUGAGUAACAGUGGUUUUAACAGGGUGUACUGUCAGUAUAAAUGAGUAACAGUGGUUUUAACAGGUUGUCCUGUCAGUAUAGAUGUUCAAACAGUUUGCACAAGUUCUCAUGUUUUUUGUUAUUGUUUUUGUUUUAAAAUGUUUGAGUUGUUAAUAUUUUUCAUUUGAAGGGGUUUUUAAUUGACAAUUGAAUUCUAGGUUUUGGAUGUAAUUUGGUGGUGGGUAAGAAUUUCAGAUUCUGAAGUUCAGUAUGACCUGAUUAAAUAAAGGGGAGAAACUGUUUUAAA